UCAAAAUCUGACCAAGAGGAAACAACCCAAAGACUUUUCUGGGGUAAAUAAUCACAGAAACAGCAAACACAAGGCCUCAAUGUGUGCCAGGCAGUCCUAAGCACAUGACACCUAUUAACCUGUUCAGUUCUCCCACAACCCUGAGAGAUCAACUGCAUUCUUAUGCCCAUUUUACAGAUGAGGAAACUGAGGCGAAGAGGCUGCUCUGGAGGCUGUUCCUACAAAGCAGAAGUCAACUCCCUUCAACCCACCUGCCUUUAAAAGCACCAGUUGGAUUCUGUCACUAAAAGGGUGAGAGGACGCUGGACCUACAUCGUUCAUUUGUUCAUCCGGCAUUCACUGCGGGCCAACGAUGGACCCACUAGUGAGUGAGACCCAACUUCUGCCCUUCAGAAGCCAAGCAGGAGCCACGCUGGGAUCAAGGAAUGAGGCUCCUUUGGCUCUGGCUGAACAUUUGCAGCGCUUUGUUCUGUAGCCAGAAAGGAUGUGAACGAGGAUGUGAAAGGGGAGUCUACAAGCCUAUCUACAGAAGUGACUACAAGCGCCACCACUUACUGAACAGCUGCUCUGGCCCAGACAUGGCGCUAAGUAUUUCACACACGUAAUCACACCCACCCCACCCCACCAAAUCCCUGCAGGAUUAUAAUCAUCCCCAUCUUGCAGGCUAUAAAGCUGAGACAGGAAGGUUAGAAGGUUACAUUGACAUGGAGUUCAAACUCUACUCGAAGUAGAGUUCAACUGGGUAACACUCAAGGCAGAGUUCAAACCCAGAUCUGCCUGACAUUCAAAACUCACACUUUAUCCAGAACAGAUGAAAAGGUAGGAGUGCUUCUUUCUUGGCGAAGAGAAGACAAGGGGACAAUGAUCUCCUUAAGGAAUCAGAAGGGUUCUAGGUGGAGGCAGGGCCUAGGAAUGGUCCAGUAAGCCGAGGGUGACAUUCCAGGGAUGGAGCUUGGAUGAAGGCAAGGGAGACUGUGGUCUUGCCCAAGCCUGGACUUCCCAUCUGCUAACAGGAGAGCCCAUCCUAGAGAUCUUGGAGGAAGCAGACCCAUCCUUGACGUUGGGGGUAGGGGAAGGAAGGGGCUGUGGUCCCUCAGAGCACACAGGCAGAAGGCAGGCCUGGAUGUGCCCUUGGGGAGCAACUAGGCUGACAGAAAGCCUGCUCAGGCUUCAGAAAGGAGUCCUCCCUCUCUAGCUAGCCCCCUGCUGCCUCUGCCCUCCAGCCCCAUCCAGGGAACACUCCCCCUCUCUGAACCCAUUCAGCUCCUUAGACCCCCUGCUAGCGUCCCCCUCAUCUCCCAGCCAACUCCUCUCUCCUGACCCCCUGCCACCUGCUCCUCUUCCUUCCUGGGCCCCCUCUUGGUCCCCACAACGAGCUCCCCACCUCAACCCUCCCCUCACCACAUCCUUCUUCAUCCACAUCUCCCAAGACCCAGCACCUCUCAGAAUGUAAAGUGUAGACCACACCCAACAAUGGCACAAUAAAACCUGGAACAAGUUCCCUGGACAAGAGAAACCAUUUAAGUCAGAGACCCUAAAAUCUCUGAAGGGGAGGGAAUGCGAGAGAGUGUUGGGUCCAGCCAUCACCUUCGGCUGCGGCAAUGAGGUUGAGUAAAUCGUGGGCUUUCCCCUGGCUGCACAGCGGGUGCAAGGCAGGAGCACUGAACUCAGGUCUAAUGUCAUCUGAUGUUUAACAUAAUACACAGGUCGGGACAUCGGGCAACACGGAAGACGGGAC
rnacentral:lncRNA from 1 species